GUUGACACUUUCACAGAGCCAAGAAAGGGGCUCUUCCUUUGAACCCUAAAUCACAAGAUACAAUCAAAUUCAACAAGGAAAUCAAGUCUAAAUCAAAAACCAAGCUGAAAUUAGUGAUCACUCAAGUGAAGGGAUCACAAGGCAAAGCGGGUGAAUCUUCAAGCGGUCAAGUUGGAGCGGACGCGCGCUUGAAGGUGAUCAUAGUGACCUCUCGGAUGAACAUCAAGCAAUUUCCAAGAACCGAACACAAGACUUUUGAAGCUUCCACAAGAAUAUCAUUUUGUUUAGUUAAAUGUGAAACAUGAAAACACUUGGUGCUAUAUUUCGAAUGUUUUAAACUAAUAUGGAUGUUAACCAUAUAAAAUUUUUUGUAAUGUCGCAUUUACAUUUUAAUGUGUAAUUAAUAUAUUAUAUUGUG